GUGUGGGUCCUGUGCGACAAGGCACUGCGAACCAUGUCAGGCGGGUGAACCGAGCAGCAUUAAGCGGACAGUUUUGUGCGCCACAGUCUGCCUACCGCCA
rfam:Clostridium sp. CAG:413 genomic scaffold, scf211